rnacentral:rRNA from 1 species
AACGAACGCUGGCGGCAGGCCUAACACAUGCAAGUCGAGCGAACCCUUCGGGGUUAACGGCGGACGGGUUAGUAACGCGUGGGAAUAUACCCUUUGGUACGGAAUAGCCUCGGGAAACUGAGAGUAAUACCGUAUGUGCCCUUCGGGGGAAAGAUUUAUCGCCAAAGGAUUAGCCCGCGUUGGAUUAGAUAGUUGGUGGGGUAAUGGCCUACCAAGUCUACGAUCCAUAGCUGGUUUGAGAGGAUGAUCAGCAACACUGGGACUGAGACACGGCCCAGACUCCUACGGGAGGCAGCAGUGGGGAAUCUUAGACAAUGGGCGCAAGCCUGAUCUAGCCAUGCCGCGUGGACGAUGAAGGCCUUAGGGUUGUAAAGUCCUUUCAGAUGGGAAGAUAAUGACGGUACCAUCAGAAGAAGCCCCGGCUAACUACCGUG